AUUUAAAUAGUUUAAUAAAAAUAUUGAUUUGUGGUAUCAAAAAUAUGAAUAAAAUUCAUUUUAAAUU
rnacentral:tRNA from 1 species